AGCGCCGACUUUGAGGUCGCCUCACCGGGCCACCGCAGCGUCGUCGGCUUCUCGGCCAUCGCGGACGCCCACGCCGGACGCUGCAAGGUCCGCGAUUGUUUUUCUAGAUCUUCGAUGAUGCUGCUUCACCAAACAAUGAAAUGCUCAUGACACAUGAUGGAAGAGGAUACAUCUACUUCCUUCUUCUGAGCCAACCAGAACAAGGGAGACAAUGAGAGGUGUGUAAUACGACGGUGGCUUCGACGACCCUGGGGAGGCGCCGGAAGAUAGUACCCAUAUAUGUAGCAGUCGCCACUGCCACACGCGAGGAGAAGAAGCAAGAAGGCGCUCAGGUGUGGUGGUGGUGCUCAGGUGCGUGGAAGGAUACAAUUUGGGGCAGGCUCUGGGCGGCUGGCAUCGCCGGCAAGCGCAAGAAGGUCAUCAUGAGCGGCAAGCCUAAACGCCCGCCCUCCGCCUUCUUCGUCUUCAUGUCUGAAUUCAGGCAGGAGUAUCAAGUUCAGCACCCUGGCAACAAGAGCAUUGUGGUCGUUAGUCAUCUUGCACUCUGCUCUCCCCUUAUUUUUUUGGUGCAUUUGCAUAUGUCUUCUUUGUUCGUGUUGGUGGAUCAGGUGAGCAAGACAGCAGGGGAAAAGUGGCAUGCUAAGUCGGAUUAGGUAAGUAGAUCUCUUGAAUACUAAGAUCAACUUUGUGUUUUGGAUUUAGAUUUAUCUAUUGUGUGUCUCCUUUGUCGUUAUUUUUAGCUCAAAAUGGGUGUUUUUGCACAAUGUUGAGGUUUAUUUGGUUGGGUAGGGCACCUAACCAAAUUGAAGGAUAUAGUUUAGGAAAGGUUUACUGGGAGUUUUUUUUGAAAGCUGGUGUAUUUGUCUCAGUUCAUAAAAUUCCUAGUUACGUGCAGUUCACCUCUCCUAUUCGACGAUAUGUUGACUUGCUAGCUCAUUAUCAGAUAAAUAUGAUUAUGAGUGAGGAAAGGUUUUAUAGCAUACAAGAAAUUAAGUAUUUGUGCAUUUUUUUAUUUUGAUGUUCUAGCUUUAUGAUAGUGCCAUCGAAUUCGUCAUCUUAUCGAUAGACCUUUGAUCCAAAGAAUAUAUCAAUAGUCGACUUAUAUUCAAAUAUUAUGUGGAACUAAUUGUACGUAAAAGCUUUUCUUAGAGGUGACUCACCACCAUAUUCAGCUGACGAUCCAGAAGGAGGGUUCAUAGCAAUAUCUUGCGGUGCUGGCCGUUGGAAUACUUGAAGCGACAACCAAAGGGGAGAAAAUACAUAGCACUUAUUCUAAAGUUUGUCAAGGAUCAUAUGGGAGCUCUGCUUUUUGGUGGAGGAAGAACUUAUGAAAGUUGAGGAACAAUCAGUGGAGCUGGAGAUGGAUUAGAAGGAGAGAUGAUGUUGAAACAACAGUCAUUUCUUGAUCUCAAUCAUUCCAUCCACCUUGCCAUCCACCUGUUCGAAAGGGAAUCCAUGGUCUAACCCAGGGUCGCGGAUGAGCUCACCGAGCAGCAGGCCUGGCAGCUCAACUUCGACCUCGAUUCGGCCUACAAUGCCUUCUUGGCUGUGCUGCCCGCUGCUGGUCUGUAACCGGGCAAGGAUCUACCAGCUUGAUUUUUAUUUGGUUGGUUCGGUCUAUUAUGCUUUUGACACUGGAGCACUACUCUCCACUACUGUAGUACUAUAGAUAUCUGUAAUUUCGGUACUGCUAUUUGUUGUCAAUAAGAAAGUUUUGUUUUCCUUUGUAUACAGUAAAUAUGUUUAUUGCAUGG